UAGGAGGAAGGAAUACCAGCACCCUAGACAUAGCUAGAGAGAGCUCCUGGAUUGCUGCUAAGACUGACAGGCUGAAGUACUGAGGCAAGGGGAAGAAGAACCUGGCUACGCCACUGAGUGGUAUGGGUCCGGGAACAAAAGUGACAGCGGCGAGGCACCAACAGAGGAUGACGCCCUGGCUACCAGAGCUAAUUCCCGUUUCAGCCGCAAGGAGGCACCGGAGUGCUGUAAAACAUGUUUGCUCUCAAACGGUCAGCCUGUCAGUCCUGCCUGAUGGACAAGACCUGAUCCCUUCUACCAAAAGUAAAUGGCACAUUGUGAGACAUCGCUAACUGCCUCUAUACAGCCAUGAAGAUGCUACAUGCAAAAGGGCUCAUCCCAUCAGCUUGAAUUCUGGAAGAAGGAAAUCAAGAUAGCAAACAAGAAAAUUUUUAAUCUCCUGCUGUUGGACUCUCACAGGG